UACGUAGGGUGCGAGCGUUGUCCGGAAUUAUUGGGCGUAAAGGGCUCGUAGGCGGUUUGUCGCGUCGGGAGUGAAAACCCAGGGCUUAACCCUGGGCUGGCUUCCGAUACGGGCAGACUAGAGGUAUGCAGGGGAGAAUGGAAUUCCUGGUGUAGCGGUGAAAUGCGCAGAUAUCAGGAGGAACACCAGUGGCGAAGGCGGUUCUCUGGGCAUUACCUGACGCUGAGGAGCGAAAGUGUGGGGAGCGAACAGG
rnacentral:rRNA from 1 species